GAAGAACUGAACAGAAAGGAGGGGGCUGGAGAGAUGGCUCAGCAGUUAAGAGCACUGUCUGCUCUUCUAAAGGUCCUGAGUUCAGUUCCCAGCAACCACAUUGUGGCAUCUGACCAUCUGUAGUGGGAUCUGACACCCUCUUCUGGUGGGUCUGAGGACAGUGAGUGCUCACAUAUAUCAAAUAAAUCUUUAAAAAGAAAGAAGAAAGGAAAAAUAAGACAACGACCGAGGCAGAGACAACUUCUGUUCCACUUGAGCGCAUAUGUCUGUCCCAACCCCUUAUGCCUCCCAGUAGCUCUGCCCAGGGAAUCUUCCUUGGUUAUCUGUGGCCGAGAGGCUUUCUGGGGCCUGUGUAGGGAACAAGGACCAUGGCAGAGGAGUUCAUCUUGGCUGGGCUCUUUCCCUGGACACAACAGGACAGGCCUCCGGGAUCUGCCUCUCUUCCUGGCCUCACGUCUGUACCUGUGCAUGCACCUGCAUUUGGAAGCCGACCACGGGCUGCCUGUGCUCUGGUCAUCCAUAAUGCAGGGAGAGGAGUUGCUGAAAGCCAUUUCCCGUGUUUGAAGGGUCCACUCCUCCCUCUCAAAUGCUGGUGCUUUCACACACUCCUGCCAGCGUUUCGGCCUCCCCACGGGACACUCUUGAGUGUUUCGUGUUAUUGUACUUUGUUUUGUUUGUUUAGUUUGAGACUAUGUGGGUCUGGCUGGCCUGCCUCUGUCUCCCAAGUGCUAAGAUUAAAAAAAGACAUGAGCUGGGCCUGGGAGAGAUGGCUCAACAGUUAAAAGCACUGGCUGUCCUUCCAGAGGUCCCGAGUUCAAUUCCCAGCAAUCACACGGUGACUCAUGACUAUCUGUAAGGAGAUCUGAUGCCCUCUUCUGGCGUUCGGGUGUACAUGCAGCAGAGCACGCAUAUAUUAAGUAAAUAAGUAAAUACAUUUAUAUUUUGGCUUGGGCUUUCUCGGCUUGGCUCCCUGCUAUCAGAGAUCAAGGUUUUGACACUUUAGGAUCUAGGAAGGCCAAGGUGAAUUACACAUAAUGAGUCACCACUACAAGGUUUUCAUAGAGAAGCUAUCUCUAUGGGCCUUUGCAGAAAUGAGGUUCAAUGGACUAAGGAGGCUUGUAGGAGAAGGCAUGGGAGGGACUCGGUUGAAGUGCAGGCCACUAAUGACAGUCUAUAGGCAAGACUGCAGAUGGAGGGACCUUGGUGGGGGGAGCCCUGAGAGUAAGCCUCUGAGCUGUGUCUCUGCCAUUUAUAUGACUGCUCAGCCGACCGGAAGGGAGCUGUUUUAGACUAACAGGACUGCGUUCACGUUGACUUUCUCUCCCACAUUAAUUAGGAGCGUACUCCCCAGUGUGGAAAAACAAGAGAACGUGACUGUCUCAUGGUGAGCGCCUGCUGGGGCCUUAUCCAGGCUAUGGCGGUCUCCGUGGGCGUCCAGGGAGAGCAAGGAUGCUGACAUGGAACGUGCCUCCAGAGCUCGUUGCCAUCGGCUCGCCAGCCAGGAACACCUUUUUACUUUGGCCGCCUGGACUCCGAGGGAAUUCUGCCGGGGCUCCUGGAGGAUGCCCAGCCAGGAUUGUUCAGGGCUGUCAUUGUCUCAGUCUCUUUGCCUCAUUGUCUUAGUCACGUUGCUUCAUUGUUAUUGUCUCCGUCUGUCCAAUCGCGUACUCACAGCCUUAGCAAAAUAAGCAAUUUUAUCUUGUCUUUUACAUACAAAAAAAAAAAAUGGAGAUUUUCUUACUUCAAGCCUUUCAGGCAUCGAGAGACCUAACCCCACCCAGAUUCCUUUGUAUUUAUGGUUACUAAAACGUCAUGUCUUAAAUCUGUAUCUUUGGACAACAGAAAAAAUAGUUUUAAAUAGCAAUGUGAUCAAACUUAACAUGGAUUUUUAAAAAAAAAAAAGUAGGGACAAAUUGGAACCGAGAAAAAAAUAUUUCUCCUGGAUAAUAUGGUGGCCAAGGACUGAAAAGCUGAAGUAUAGUCAAUAGGAGUUAGAUUAUUUGAAAGUUUUCACAUAAAAUUAUUUUGGGUACAGUCUGAGAAUAUGUGGAAUGUAGUAAGAACUAGAACUUUCCAGAAAGUUCUUCUUCCGUGGAAAUGUUAUACUUUGAUGCUGUUCACAUGUUUGUUUUGCUUGCAGUAUCAGCCGGACAUGUUCCUUCAUGCUCUUGUGGGACAACCUAGUUGUUUCCCACUUCAGGAUGUUCUGUGAUGGUUCCUCAGGUACUUUUGAAUCUCUUGUUAGGAGAGUCUUCUUUUUUUUUUUUUUUUUGGUUCUUUUUUUUGGAGCUGGGGACCGAACCCAGGGCCUUGCGCUUCCUAGGCAAGCGCUCUACCACUGAGCUAAAUCCCCAACCCCAGGAGAGUCUUCUUGAACUCAGAAUUCAAAUUGCCCUAAAUUUUAAAGAUCCCAAAUCGUACAUAAAUAGCCUUAGGUUUAAAUCUUUAAAAGUUAAUGUGAAUUAGGUAGGUCUUGCUUGUGGUUUAGUUUUGUUCUUGCCCUUGGUCUGAUUGUAAAAGAACAGACUCUUGACAAGGGAAGAAGUUAGCGGAGCCUCAAGAGCCCUGCUCUCUGUUCAAGAUUUAUGCUACACAGUAUUCCAAGCUUCUAGUGCAUAUUAGUAGUGAGUGAUUCUCACAUCAGUGUGACAUCUAAAACUAGAGCUUUUUAAGAUUUAUUUAUUUUAUUUAUGUGAGUACACUGUAGCUGUCCAGACACACCAGAAGAGGGCAUCAGAUCCCAUUACAGGUGGUUGUGAGCCACUAUGUUGUUUGCUGGGAUUUGAACUCAGGACCUCUGGAAGAGCAGUCAGUGCUCUUAAUCGCUGAGCCAUCUCUCCAGCCCCCUAUACAUUUCUUUCUAGGACUCCCACUACAACUAAAAACUGAUAAUGGACCUGCUUAUACUUGCAAUUGUUUUAACUUUUUUUUUUGAAGUUUAUGGAAUAUUAAUCAUGUUACUGAGUUCCCUUACAAUUGACAGUGUCAAACUAUUGUAAAACAACACAAUCAAAGACUUAAAUUACAAAUUUGAAUUCCCACAUCCUAUGCCUAUACAUUUAGCUAUGCUAACUUUAAAUUUUUUUCACUUUAAAAGAUAGUGGCUUUUUCUGCUCCCAAAAACAUUUUAUCCAAAGAAGACACUACCUAAAGUGUGUGUGUGUGCGUGCGUGCGUGCGUGCGUGCGUGCGUGCGUGUGUGUGUGUGUGUGUGUGUGUUUAAAAAACCUUUAAAACUAAUCAAUGGAAAGUGCCCGAUGUCCUACCAUCGAGGCGAGGUUAUGCUUAUGUCUUACAGAAAAGUAAAUGAAGUCCCAGAUGGCUACUGCUCUGUGACACUUUGGACAAGGACAGCAUCCCAGAGACCACCAGAUCAGCAAGGGGGUCUAAGCUAGAUUACAAGCCCAUCAAGAGGGGACGUCCCAAGAGGAGGAGGAAGCCAGUAUCUCGGGGAGACUUUAACUGGUCAAGCCAAGACCUUGGGGAAACAACAAGGACAUAAUUCUGCUGACCCCCAAAUGAUGGUGUUACGUUUACUGACUGUAUUACAUGUUGAUUCUCAGCCUGUCAGUGCAGAAUCCAAAUGCCUUAUGUCAGGGGGGAUAAAGGGCGCACCUGUAAUAGGACAAAGUAUGAAGUUGUCUUGCUGUGCUAAUAAUCAUUUUGAUCCUCUGGGACCGACCAGUUGUCUGGACAAAAGAUAGUAUACAAAUAUUUAGACACAAGAAUGGGUGGCAUUAUGGGUAGACUAACUGAGCAGUUCAAAUGUAAUAAUACAGGUUUUAGGGGUUGGGGAUUUAGCUCAGUGGUAGAGCGCUUGCCUAGGAAGCGCAAGGCCCUGGGUUCGGUCCCCAGCUCCGAAAAAAAGAACCAAAAAAAAAAAAUAAUACAGGUUUUAGCUGAAGGCAGUACUCUAGAAAGCUUUGAUGGUGAAAGGAAUAUGUGAUAUAUUGCUUACUAAACUUGAACUGACACCAGGUACUGAGUAGUGUGGAAUCGGACUGCCUUCUUGUCUCCUGUGAAUCAUUAGUCUGUUGGCCUUGGUGGAGGAAAUAUGCCCCUGAAGGAGGGCUUUGAGAGUUAAAAGCCUCGCCUGGCUUCCCGAUUAGUUCCUGCUCUAUACUUGAUCUUCAAGGUGUGAUUUCUCAGUUUCAUAUCCCUGCCACCAUGCCUGCUGUGUGCUCUCAUCCUUCCUGCCGUAAUGGACUCAUCUCUGUUCUGGAACCACGAGCCAAAAUAAACACUUGUCUUCCUUAAGUUGCCUUUGGUCACGUGUUCUAUCACCACCGAAAAGUACCUAAGACAGGCGGUGAAAGACUGUCAGAGAGCAGAGUG
rnacentral:lncRNA from 1 species